UACAGCGGUCUCCCGCUUUUUUCUUCUUCCUUUUUCUUCCCUUUUUCUUAUUCUUCUCUUUAAUUCUUUUGUGAAAUCUCGGAGCUUAACUCCGAAACUGCAUUCGAUACUGCCGUGCUUGAGGACUGGAGAGGAGACUGGAAUUUACGGUGUAGCGGUGAAAUGCGUAGAUAUCGUAAGGAAGACCAGUGGCGAAGGCGGGUCUCUGGGCCUUACCUGACGCUGAGGAGCGAAAGCGUGGGGAGCGAACAGG
rnacentral:rRNA from 1 species